CUCUCUGAAAACUGAGAAGGGUGUGCCUGCAGCAAGCUGGGGAAUCUCCACCGGGAGAAUCUCCCCGGAGUUCGAUGACGUGAAGAGAACGGAGUAAACAACCGAACUUUUUAAAGCGAAAUUGAUGGAGGUAGAUAUAUCCAUCUGGAAUGCUGGCUCUCCAUCAAUGAAAGAAUGCAACACGUGCUGCCAACGCUUAUUCCACUGCCCGCUGAGCCCAACCUUCAAACCAUCAAAGGUGACAAAUAUUCAGAGGCAUGUGAAAUCACAUGCAAAAAAUGCUGUGCAUUUCUAAGAUAUGCAGACAUUAAACCCAUAUUCCUGUCUGUUUGAAAUGACACCAAUUCUGCCUAGUCUGUUCAAACUGGUGCCCGUUCUACUGUACAUCUCCUUUGUAAGCUAAGAAGUUCCUUUCAGCUGACUACAUCAGAAUCUGUACUAUUGGCAUUUUAUGAGAGCUGAAAAUGUGCAACAUUGUUAACCAGAAAUUAUAUCUGGGUGGGUAAAUUGAUGGAUAUGCUGUAGAACAUAGUUUGUCAUUGAUUUAUAAAUAUACCCAUAUAUCCUGGGCUUUCACUGAUGGUUUAAUUGUGGUACAUAUGGCACUGGCCUGAUAUGCAUUCUGUGCUUGCAUUUUGCUUCUACCUGACCGCUUCCUGCAUGUUAGCUGAGACAAUCCUCUUGUCAGAGCAGAUACCUACCUCCGCCACUUUCAGAGCAAAUCACCAAAAACUCUGUGUAGUCAGACUGUCAAGCUCAUGGCAGCAUCUGCUGCCAGUGUGCAAGAAAAAAUUGACAGAAGUGAAAUCAACAUGAUGGGCUACCUCUUUGAUGUCAUACUUCAAGAGGUAAUCAUCAGGAUCUUGAAAAAGAAUGAGGGCUUCAGCUGCUAUCAGGCAGAAUUUGCCAUGGCCAGCGGAUUUCACCAUUAAAGGCUGAAUAAAUGUGAUAGUCUUGAUUGUAUUUAUUUUGGAUGUUUGAUUAAAGAAAAAUCUAUUGUAACAAGUGGUUUUUGUCUCAUUUUAUUAAGCCUAUUCAAAUUUUGACAUGUCUCAUUGCUGCAUAAUUUCCUGAGGAAUUAUGAUUCUUUGGUGUACAACUACAUCUGAGAUUUAAGUGUCCACAGUUAUGACUCGAUGUUUGAAUGUGAUGAAUCGUCAUCCGCUUUUCGGCGACAUGAAAGCGUAUAUUUAAAUAGCGUUGGUGCAUCUAAUCCAGGAGUGAGAUAUAUACUCGGGAGACUUCGGUAAGAUUAAAAUGAGUUUAAUCAAAAAUAUUCUCAUUAGACAUGAAUAAUUAAAUUGUCAUGAACUGAUUAAUCAUUAGAAGUUAUCAGUUGUAUUCCCUGAGAAACACCAGACUCGUAAAUGCACAAACAGGUGUGUCUCCAGAGAAGAGAUGACAACUCCCUUUUAAGGUAAACAUGGUAUCGUAGAUGCGAGGGUAUCAUAGUCACAGCAUACCGAGACUUCUAAAACUAAUUAUAGGCCCACUGUAAGGCUACAGUGAAUACAUGUACAUUUAAAUAAACAGUAAUUAAAAUAUGCAUUAUAUAUAAUUUAUACAUGAAGCCAGCAUUACGCCCGGCUUGUUAUUAGCCUAGUACGGAGCACUAAGGGUGUUAUCUUAACGUAGCUAAGUGCUGCGUUGUAACCAGACUUAUCGACCGUUAAUUAAAACGACUUGAUAUACAAGUGGUAACAUCUUAAAAACCAACUCGUUUCCGAAAUAAAGGAGGUCAGGUGACUUGAAUUCGUGGUGUGCAGGUUACGCAAUUUCCGUGUCCUUCCACUUUUUUCAUUGGGUCCUUCACAUGGAGGUCACGUGCUUCCUGUCCUCUCCGUGGAGAUCGAUAGUGGAGAUGCUCCUGGUAGAUUUGGGGUGUGGAGGUUACGCAAUUUCCAGUCCUUCUGCUUUUUCAUUGGGUCCUCUACAUGGAGGUCACGUGCUUCCGGUCCUCUCCGGGGAGAUUGUCCUGGUGGAGAUUCCCCAGCUUGCUGCAGGCAGGUUCUACUGCUUUAUCAUUGGAUCCUCUACAUGGAGGUCACGUGCUUCCGGUCCUCUCCAUGGAGAUUCUCCUGGUGGAGAUUCCCCAGCUUGAUGCAGGCAGGUUCUUUUAACAUACGCUGCGUGGUGGAAGC